AAGGGCAAUCGGUGGAUGUCUAGGCACCAAGAGCCGAUGAAGGACGUUGGAGCCUGCGAUAAGCCCCGGGGAGUUGGCAACCAAGCUGUGAUCCGGGGGUGUCCGAAUGGGGAAACCCAGCUGGCAUUCUAAAGCCAGUUACCAGUUCCUGAACACAUAGGGUUCUGGAGGGAACGCGGGGAAGUGAAACAUCUCAGUACCCGUAGGAGAAGGAAACAAUAUGUGAUUUCGUGAGUAGCGGCGAGCGAAAGCGAA
rnacentral:rRNA from 13 species